rnacentral:rRNA from 1 species
GACGAACCGUGCGAACGUUGUUCGGAAUCACUGGGCUUAAAGGGCGCGUAGGCGGGCCGGCAAGUCGGGGGUGAAAUCCUCCAGCUCAACUGGAGAACUGCUUCCGAUACUGCCGGUCUCGAGUGGGGUAGGGGCGUGCGGAACGACGGGUGGAGCGGUGAAAUGCGUAGAGAUCAGGAAGAACACCGGUGGCGAAAGCGCUCUGCUAGGCCGCAACUGACACUGAGGGACGAAAGCGUGGGGAUCAAACAGG